CUUCCCAUUCCGAACAGAGCAGUUAAGCCCUACAGUGCUGAUGGUACUAGGUUAACCCCCGGGAGAGUAAGUCGGCGCCACAU
rnacentral:rRNA from 1 species